AAGUCGUAACAAGGUUUCCGUAGGUGAACCUGCGGAAGGAUCAUUAACAUUUUUACUCUUUUUGGGUUUGGUUUGUGUUGUUUGUUUUUAUUAACAGAUGCACAUUCUACUCUCAUUCCACCCCAAAUGUGCAUUGUGUUGUGCUUUGUAACAAAAGCACUUCUUUUUAUCUAUCUAUACUAAAUAAACCCCUUUUUAUUACUUCUAGACUGACUUUAAACCACUUGAUUCGUACACUUCAUACUGUACGAUGACCAAUCAUAAUACAACUCUUAGCAACGGAUAUCUAGGCUCUC
rnacentral:misc_RNA from 1 species